rnacentral:rRNA from 1 species
GUUUGAUCAUGGCUCAGAUUGAACGCUGGCGGCAGGCCUAACACAUGCAAGUCGAGCGGUAGCACAGAGAGCUUGCUCUCGGGUGACGAGCGGCGGACGGGUGAGUAAUGUCUGGGAAACUGCCUGAUGGAGGGGGAUAACUACUGGAAACGGUAGCUAAUACCGCAUAAUGUCGCAAGACCAAAGUGGGGGACCUUCGGGCCUCAUGCCAUCAGAUGUGCCCAGAUGGGAUUAGCUAGUAGGUGGGGUAACGGCUCACCUAGGCGACGAUCCCUAGCUGGUCUGAGAGGAUGACCAGCCACACUGGAACUGAGACACGGUCCAGACUCCUACGGGAGGCAGCAGUGGGGAAUAUUGCACAAUGGGCGCAAGCCUGAUGCAGCCAUGCCGCGUGUGUGAAGAAGGCCUUCGGGUUGUAAAGCACUUUCAGCGGGGAGGAAGGCGAUAAGGUUAAUAACCUUGUCGAUUGACGUUACCCGCAGAAGAAGCACCGGCUAACUCCGUGCCAGCAGCCGCGGUAAUACGGAGGGUGCAAGCGUUAAUCGGAAUUACUGGGCGUAAAGCGCACGCAGGCGGUCUGUCAAGUCGGAUGUGAAAUCCCCGGGCUCAACCUGGGAACUGCAUUCGAAACUGGCAGGCUAGAGUCUUGUAGAGGGGGGUAGAAUUCCAGGUGUAGCGGUGAAAUGC